rnacentral:rRNA from 1 species
AUUGAACGCUGGCGGCAUGCCUUACACAUGCAAGUCGAACGGUAACAGGUCUUCGGAUGCUGACGAGUGGCGAACGGGUGAGUAAUACAUCGGAACGUGCCUAGUAGUGGGGGAUAACUACUCGAAAGAGUGGCUAAUACCGCAUGAGAUCUACGGAUGAAAGCAGGGGAUCGCAAGACCCUGUGCUACUAGAGCGGGCGAUGGCAGAUUAGGUAGUUGGUGGGAUAAAAGCUUACCAAGCCGACGAUCUGUAGCUGGUCUGAGAGGACGAUCAGCCACACUGGGACUGAGACACGCCCCAGACUCCUACGGGAGGCAGCAGUGGGGAAUUUUGGACAAUGGGCGCAAGCCUGAUCCAGCAAUGCCGCGUGCAGGAUGAAGGCCUUCGGGUUGUAAACUGCUUUUGUACGGAACGAAAAGCCCUGGGUUAAUACCCUGGGGUCAUGACGGUACCGUAAGAAUAAGCACCGGCUAACUACGUGCCAGCAGCCGCGGUAACAC